UACAUGGACCUUCUUUUCUGUUUCUGUGCCCACGGUCCACCUGGGUACAGCCAUGGCCUUCCUUCUGGCUGAAGUCCUGGAGAUGGCCUGAUAAAACAUCUCAGCCCCGUGCGUGCAUUGGAUUCAGCAGAGACAUUGGGGAUGCCAUUGGCAUCAAUGUCAAAAGUGACUUCAAUCAGAGGAACAUCCUGGGUGCAGGAGGUAUGCCUGUGAGUUCAGCUUGCCAAGCAGGUUGUUAUCCCUUGUACGGGCGCACUCACCUUCAUGACUGAAUGAGCACACCAGCC
rnacentral:lncRNA from 1 species